rnacentral:rRNA from 1 species
AGUGAACGCUGGCGGCAGGCCUAACACAUGCAAGUCGAACGGCAGCACAAGAGAGCUUGCUCUCUGGGUGGCGAGUGGCGGACGAGUGAGGAAUGCAUCGGAAUCUGCCCAUUUGUGGGGGAUAACCUCGGGAAACCGGGACUAAUACCGCAUACGACCUACGGGUGAAAGCAGGGGAUCUUCGGACCUUGCGCAGAUGGAUGAGCCGAUGCCGGAUUAGCUAGUUGGAGGGGUAAAGGCCCACCAAGGCGACGAUCCGUAGCUGGUCUGAGAGGAUGAUCAGCCACACUGGAACUGAGACACGGCCCAGACUCCUACGGGAGGCAGCAGUGGGGAAUAUUGGACAAUGGGCGCAAGCCUGAUCCAGCCAUGCCGCGUGUGUGAAGAAGGCCUUCGGGUUGUAAAGCACUUUUGUUGGGAAAGAAAAGCAGCCGGUUAAUACCCGGUUGUCAUGACGGUACCCAAAGAAUAAGCACCGGCUAACUUCGUG